GUUCUUUCCUUGGAAACAACUUUUCUCGAAAAUUGAGAGCUAGCUAACUCACCCAGUUUCCCAUUUAUAUUGCUCCAGCUUUAUUUCUUUUCCUGUGCUGUUUAUUAAGCCAACAGAUAGUUCCAUUCUACAGGAGAAAAAACAUUUCAGAAAGUUCACACUAAUGGCUUUCAAGUACCGUUGUUGCCAAUGAGCAGAGAUGAAGAGCUAUGGUCAAAAUCUCCAAGCUCUAAAUUCCCAUAUAAUCUCCUACUCACCUACCACACUUCUGAAACUAUUCAAAGACACUCUAGGCAAAUUCACACUGCAUGAGAACUUCAUUCCCAAAUCUCUCUCUGGUUUCCUGCCAUGUGAGAUUCUCAAGGGCCCCUCUUGCUUCUUUGGUGCUUGCCCUAGAUCAGAGGCAGAACAAAGAGACCUGCUCUAGCUUGCCUAUUCUUGGGUUCCACACUGGCUUUGCCUGGACUUCCAAGCUGAGAGUAUCUCCCUGCUCCAGCAUCAUCCUACCACAACUUCAUCAUGAAAUGGAAGAAGGAGAGCAGAGAGAGAAGAAAGAUAAAAGACUUGGGGAUGAGAACGACUUGAAGAUCACUUCAGAGACGGACACUCCUCCAAAGGAAGAAAGAACGAAAACUGUCUCAAAGACCAUGGCACGCAAGCAGAAAGGAGGAGCCCUGGAAAGUUUAGACAAGCAUUUUCCAAAGUGUGCUCUGUGGAAUAUUACUUCUGAGUGAUUGUAAUAGGCAUGGCAUUAAAAAAAAAAAAAAGAAGAAGCGAGCAAAAUGGGUCUGAAUAUCAAAUAAGUUUGUAAAAUGCUGGGUUGCACAAAGCUAAACAAAUUCCUUUAUUGCACAACUCUUUAGAUCCUUUGUGGGCUCUGAAAGGGAUUGCGAAUCUCAGAAUUUGUGUGUGGGAUUGGGAUUUACUAUUGUACCAUUGAGAAGUUAUUUCACCAUGGGACCAUUUUCUUGUUGAUCAUCUUGCGAAAUUUGAGUACAGGUUGGCUUUAGUUUUUCUCUGACUCGGCAGGUGUCAAUAUCUUAAGUACAUUGAAAUUAAAAUGGAUCAUUACAAGGACAAGGACUACAGAGAACACCUUUGGCACCUCUUUCAAAUUUUAUUUCUUCUAAUAAGACUUCUUGGAUAAAAGAGAACUCUAAUGUUGCUUGCUUCUGAAUCCCUCUCAUCUUCAAAACUGGAUCAAUUUCAUCGUGGCCCAGUUAAUUUGACUGAAUUCAGGAUCCCAGUUGGGCAUCAAGCCAGUCUUAAUGCCAGUUUGCUUUGACCCUGGAGCACAAGUAAUUGUUUCCUGCUUUGUUUCCCUAUAGCUGAAAGUUAAUAGAGGUGAAACCGGUCUUAGAGAUUGCCUCUCCCAGCAACCUCCGUUUACAGCCAAGGAAACUGAGGCUCAGAGAUGAGGAAGAAUUACCUUUAAACCACAUAGCCACUUUUUCUAGAAGCCAACCCUUACAAAGCCCACCCAGACGACUAAGCCAUGCUCCCCUUUCCUGAACCUCUUGGGCAUAAAGAUCCUCACAUUUUCUCCAACUUCACAUCCCGCUUGGCCCUUCAGGAGUCUGAAGCAAUUCAAAUGAACCUCUUUGCGCCCUGUCACAGACUGGAGCACAUUAAGGGCAGGAAAUUAGGCAGGGGCAUGUUUGUAGAUCCGGUGCUGAUUCCUCUUCCACUCAGAUUGUACAUCCACCAAUACGGAAUGGAUUUAUCUCUAAUUUAUUAAAGGUCGGUCAGCAUGGAUUGAUAAAGGAAAGGCCAUGUCUGAUAAACUCACCUAAAUUGAAUUCUUGGGCCACAUUACCAAAUCAGCAGACAUAAUUUAUCUGGAUUUCAGGGAAGCAUUUAGUGCUGUACCAUAUAACAGAUGCAUUUACUAAGGCAAAGCACUGUGUGACGGUUAAGUGUCAGGUGGCAGUUCUGGAAGCAGGUUUAAAAUGGCCCAGAACCCAACACUGACUGUGCUGCCAGGAGACACUUAAGAGUACAGACAGAGGGGUCGGUCUGGGGGUCAUUAUUUCAAAGUCCUUGACCCUAAUUAUAAUUUAAUUUCCACAGUGGUCAUAUCUCUUGAGAGCAAAAUUGGGAUGAAGGGGACAGUUUUAAAAGGAACAGACUGAAAACAAGUUCUGAAUUUCUUUUUUCAAUCAGACUGGCUCAGUGAGGGAUGAAUGAGUUAUUCUUCCACUAAACGAACACAAAUAAACAAAAGAACAAAGGAAGCCA
rnacentral:lncRNA from 1 species